rnacentral:tRNA from 1 species
GAGGGGAUAGCUCAGUGGUAGAGCGCAUGCUUAGCAUGCACAGGGUCCUGGGUUCAAUCCCCAGUGCCUCCA